rnacentral:miRNA from 14 species
UGUGUGUGUGUGUGUGUGUGUGUGUGUGUGUGUGUUUGUUUGUUUGCUGCUGUCAUUAAGCAGGGCUGAGUAAAACCAGCUGUUUUUCCUCAGCACACACACACGCACACACACACACACACACACA